UCAACUGAGUUGGGUGGAAGAAAUCUCCCUCACUCUAUUUCAGGAACUGAAACAAAGGGAUAGAAUCCACGAGCAGUUGUUUUUGGUUCUGCUUAAAAUUGCUGUACUAAGUAGAGUGUAUGACUCAGAGAUUGCCAGAAGAGGACUGGAGCCUCUCAGAAGCUCACUUCAGAAGAGCAAAAGGUCAAGGUUCAGGUGUAUCCUAAUUGGGAAAAGAAGAGUGAGAAUUCAGCCUUUUAAGAGACCCGGAGCUCACAUAUUUCCGAGGUG